CAAUAAGCGGAGGAAAAGAAACCAACAGGGAUUGCCCCAGUAACGGCGAGUGAAGCGGCAGCAGCUCAAAUUUGAAAUCUGGCCCCCCCCCCGGGGGGGCCCGAGUUGUAAUUUGCAGAGGACGCUUCGGGCGCGGCGCCGGCCGAGUUCCUUGGAACAGGACGCCGUAGAGGGUGAGAGCCCCGUACGGCCGGACGCCUAGCCCGUGCGAAGCUCCUUCGACGAGUCGAGUAGUUUGGGAAUGCUGCUCAAAAUGGGAGGUAAAUUUCUUCUAAAGCUAAAUACCGGCCAGAGACCGAUAGCGCACAAGUAGAGUGAUCGAAAGAUGAAAAGCACUUUGAAAAGAGGGUUAAAGAGUACGUGAAAUUGUUGAAAGGGAAGCGCCUGUGGCCAGACGUGCCGCCCGCGGACCACCUGGCGCCCCCGCGCCAGGGCACGCCGCGGGCGCGCAGGCCAGCAUCGGCCUCCCCGGGGGGACAAAGGGCGCGGGAACGUAGCUCCUCAGGGAGUGUUAUAGACCGCGCCGCCAUGCCUCCGGGGGGGCCGAGG
rnacentral:rRNA from 1 species